rnacentral:tRNA from 1 species
UCCCCGAUAGCUCACCCGUAGGGAUCUCGACUGUUACUCCAGCGGCCGUUGGUUCGAGUCCGGCUCGGGGAGCCA